UCAAUUGUUUUUUAAAGUGCCUAAAUCCCUAAUUCACAUUCCUUAGCUACGAUAACUUCCUUUAGCGAGUAAACUUUUUCUUGCGUCCAAACUAAGUUAAUCUUUUUUUUCUUGGCUAUGACAAUAGCAUCUAUCUCCGUUCACAAUACUUUCAUUAUGUGACAACAAUUGAUGGAAGUGUUUCUUAUUACAUAUUAGUUGCGUCGAGUUUGCAUUUGCGUUUUCAUAUGCUGGAAGCAAAGCAUUGUCUAUAUUAAUUGAUUUAUUUGUGAAUGUGCUAGAGGUAAUUUACUACUGCACACUAUGUUUAUUUCCUAUUCAUUGAAUUGUAUCUAAUUAUUCAUUCCUAUGCUAUUUUUUUUAAGAGGUUCUUAAAUUGUCUUCAAAUGAUUCCAAAUCCAAAGAAAUAGUGACAUAUCCUUCUCAUGUUAGUGGAAUCAUAAAGCCUACAAACUAUAGGUGCUAAUUAACUAAUUUGAAUCAAAUUUCAAAAGAUGAACAUGUAGUAUCUUGCUAACGUCUAUAGGUGCAGGUGGUUCAAACAAAAAAUGAAAAACCAAUUUCUCUUGUAGGUAAGAAAAUUAGUUAUUAUAUAAGAAAACCAAUUUCAGAUUUCUUUUGAGGUUUUAAGUUUUUUUAGCCUUAACUUUUGAUCACAUAAUUUUAGUGUCUUUUGAUACUUAGACUUUUAUUUAAGAACUAGCGAUCCGAAGAAUAAUAAUGAAAAUAGUAUUAAAAUCAUUAAUAUUUCCUCAUGC
rnacentral:lncRNA from 1 species